ACAGAUGUUGAAAUCACGCAUGGGGAUGGCUCUGGCCCUGGUGGUACUGCAGCCCCUGCAGCCGGGGUGGGAGGAUCUGGUGACAUCUGAUCAUGGGGCUCUCAGUGACUUGGAAAACCUCCCUGGACAAACCAGUCCAGGGGCAAGAGCACUUCUGGCCUGGGGUGGGCAGAGAAGCAGGGGCUCUUCUCUGGGUGGGUUCUACUCUCCAGGUCCUGGCUGAUGCUUACUCACGCUGGCGGGAGUGCCGGGGAACAAGGUGAACCUUGGCUCCACAGGCAUGAUAAAGCAGAUGGGAGGUGGGCCAAGGGGGUCUGUGGGGAACUUAGCCUGGGAUGAAGGACGGUUGGUGGAUGCUGCGAGGCCCAAGAGGGCUUCCUGGAGCAGGUAGAAACGGGAUGGAGAGGCUGGUAGGGGUGAAGAGGACCAGCAUUUGUUGAGCAUUUGCUGUGCACCAAGCACAAAACUAAAAAUUAGAAAUGAAUUCAUUCAGCAACUACUUACUGAGCACCUACUAUGUGUCAAGUACUGCCCUGGGCUCUGGGGAUAAUGCAAGGGAACAAAAGAGACAGAACCCCUGCCCUCAUUGAGCUCACAUUCUGGUGGAGGCAAGGGACAAUAAUCACAUAAGCAAAAAAAUACCAUGUUGGGUGGUGAUAUGUGUUACAGCGUAAGAGGCAGAUAGAAGGUCCGUCUCACUGAUGAGUGCCUGCUGUGUGCGCGUGCAGGCACUGGUCUGUGCUUUGCAACUGUGACUCCUGCUUCAGUGCUAGCUCACGUUGACUGACCACUUACCAUGUGCCUGGCACCGAUCUAAGUGUUUUCAAUGCAUUAACUCAUGUGAUCCUGAUGAAACAAUAGUGGGGAGGUGCUAUUAUUGUCAUCUCCAUUUUACAGAUGAAGAAAC
rnacentral:lncRNA from 1 species